rnacentral:tRNA from 1 species
GGGGUAUAGCUCAGUUGGUUGAGUGCUUGCUUUGCAUGCACAGGGCCCUGAGUUCAAUCCUCAGCACCACCA